rnacentral:misc_RNA from 1 species
AAGUCGUAACAAGGUCUCCGUAGGUGAACCUGCGGAGGGAUCAUUACCGAGUUCAUGCCCUUCGGGGUAGACCUCCCACCCUAUGUUAUCAUUACCUUUGUUGCUUUGGCGGGCCGCUAGGCUCCGGCCCAGCUACCGGCUCACGCUGGUAAGCGCCCGCCAGAGGACCCCAAACUCUGAGUAUUAGUGUCGUCUGAGUACUAUAUAAUAGUUAAAACUUUCAACAACGGAUCUCUUGGUUCUG